rnacentral:rRNA from 1 species
AACGAACGCUGGCGGCAGGCCUAACACAUGCAAGUCGAACGCCCCGCAAGGGGAGUGGCAGACGGGUGAGUAACACGUGGGAACCUUCCCUAUAGUACGGAAUAGCCCAGGGAAACUUGGAGUAAUACCGUAUACGCCCGAGAGGGGAAAGAUUUAUCGCUAUAGGAUGGGCCCGCGUAGGAUUAGCUAGUUGGUGAGGUAAUGGCUCACCAAGGCGACGAUCCUUAGCUGGUUUGAGAGAACGACCAGCCACACUGGGACUGAGACACGGCCCAGACUCCUACGGGAGGCAGCAGUGGGGAAUAUUGGACAAUGGGCGCAAGCCUAAUCCAGCCAUGCCGCGUGAGUGAUGAAGGCCUUAGGGUUGUAAAGCUCUUUUGCCGGGGACGAUAAUGACGGUACCCGGAGAAUAAGUCCCGGCUAACUUCGUGCCAGCAGCCGCCGUAACAC